rnacentral:rRNA from 1 species
AUUGAACGCUGGCGGCAGGCUUAACACAUGCAAGUCGAGCGGGGGAGGUUGCUUCGGUAACUGACCUAGCGGCGGACGGGUGAGUAAUGCUUAGGAAUCUGCCUAUUAGUGGGGGACAACAUUCCGAAAGGAAUGCUAAUACCGCAUACGCCCUACGGGGGAAAGCAGGGGAUCUUCGGACCUUGCGCUAAUAGAUGAGCCUAAGUCGGAUUAGCUAGUUGGUGGGGUAAAGGCCUACCAAGGCGACGAUCUGUAGCGGGUCUGAGAGGAUGAUCCGCCACACUGGGACUGAGACACGGCCCAGACUCCUACGGGAGGCAGCAGUGGGGAAUAUUGGACAAUGGGCGGAAGCCUGAUCCAGCCAUGCCGCGUGUGUGAAGAAGGCCUUUUGGUUGUAAAGCACUUUAAGCGAGGAGGAGGCUCUUAAGGUUAAUACCCUUGAUGAGUGGACGUUACUCGCAGAAUAAGCACCGGCUAACUCUGUGCCAGCAGCCGCCGCCGUAA